rnacentral:lncRNA from 1 species
GGGCUGGAUAUGCAGCGAGACCCAGCAGCCUCACACUGGCAGUUGACCACUGCAAGUUCCAGCUAAUUACCCUACGGACAAGAUUUCCGGAAGGAUGGAGACUUCAGUAUGGAAGAGGGAGUGGAGCUGAAUUUUUCUGGAGGGGCUCAUGAACUCCCAGCCUGACAAACUCUGAGGAGACACGUCAUUGUCUCCCUAUGUGUCUGUUUCUUCCCAGGACUUUCAAACCUGCUUGGGUUGUCUCAUAAAUAGGAGUGGCGGGUCCUCAGUGGCAGUCUCUGGGACUUCCUGUUCCCGGGCUCCCUCAAGCCGAGAGCCCUGCCUUUCUCUCUGCUGCAUGGGCUCCGAGGCUCUGCCACUGUCCGGCCCCUGUGAGGGGGCCCUCCUGUGCCUACAGCUGUCCUUCACUCCCUGUUCGCUUCUCCGUUUUCUCCUCUCUAGGAUUCCCCACUCCGUGCUCUGAAGAUGUGCUGGUCUUCGGAGACCCCCUGACUUUUAUCCACCCACCUGCUCCUUUCUCCAGGGGUGAAGCCCUGGGCACCCCCAUCUCCCUUUUUUUUCUCCCCUGACUGUCCCUGGAUGGAUUCCUCUCCCACCCUUCUGUCUCAGAGUUUGCCAGAGCUGGGGCCUCUCUGUAACGUGGGUACAUUUAAAGCCUGUUUGCCGCAGAGCCUGCAGCCUGAGCUUGCCUGGAGCUAAGCAAGCCUAGGGGAUCCAGGGAAAAUUAAGCCACAAUUCCUGUCUCCAGGAACUGGAGGGGCUUGAAGGGCCCAGCAUUUCUGGGGCUGGAGGCUACCCAGUGGCACAGGGAGACAAGGCUGGGACGUGCAUCCAGAAGCCCUGAGCUAGGGUGCUGGAACCAGAAGGCAGGAGCAGUGGAGUCUCAGUAAGUUCCUCAGCCUCCCCGAGAUGUGGUGUGCUUGUCUGGACGUGGGCCGGAUGCCUGACUACCGCAUCAGGGAGGGGGUUCCCGCCCUUCUUCGCAGGAGUGGGUUCCUCAGGGUUUUUCACCUUCAGAGACCUGGUGGCAGUCUGUGCUCCUCCCACGCCCACGUCUCACUAGCAUCUCUCAGAUGGAUUGCAGAUGGAGAGUGCUUCUCUUUGACUUCAGCUCUCCCGGUGGCUCAGUGCUGGAGAAGAAUGGAAGCUUGGGCAGGUGUAGGACCCGCCUGCUGAUUGGCGCAGUUUGACUAAUGACAGCAGCGACAGCUGAAGACUGAGUAAGACCAUGUGGCAACUCAUGACUCCUCACAGACACCUGGAAGAAGCUACUUAGGCGAUGGCUGCUUCUCCAUCCUCCGCUGACCCCAGAAACAAGCUGGCGGGGCGGGGUGGCUGGAAGGGAGAAGUCAGGAUAAUCCAGGUGCCUCCUAAACCUAUAGCCCACCCAUGACUCUCUAAGCCUAGAAUAUGGGAGGCUCAAACUGCUGUUGGUUUUUGUUAAAACACUCCCCACUCCUGAAGUUUCUGAUUCAGUAGAAAUGUGUGUGUGGGUGGUGGGGGGAGUUUUGUAUUUCUGAAUUCCCAGGCGGUGCUGCUGGCCCAGGAACCACACUUUGAGAACCACUGAUAGAGAAAAAAAGAAUGUCUCCAGAUCCCCCAUUUUUCAUAUCUCAGCAUCUUCAGACUUCUCAAAAAUACUCCCAAAUAUUUGUAAAAAUAAACAGUUUCAACUUCUACA